UACGUAGGGUGCGAGCGUUAAUCGGAAUUACUGGGCGUAAAGCGUGCGCAGGCGGUUUUGUAAGUCAGAUGUGAAAGCCCCGGGCUUAACCUGGGAAUGGCAUUUGGGACUGCAAGGCUUGAGUGCGGCAGAGGAGACUGGAAUUCCUGGUGUAGCAGUGAAAUGCGUAGAGAUCAUGAGGAAGACCAGUGGCGAAGGCGGGUCUCUGGACAGUCCCUGACACUGAGGCACGAAGGCCAGGGGAGCAAACGGG
rnacentral:rRNA from 1 species